rnacentral:lncRNA from 1 species
UCUCUUAGCGGGAUGCCCAGCCCUGAGCAAGGAGCCUCAGAAUGGCGGCCAGGAGAGGUGCUGGGAGGGAGCACUGCCAGGGGGCAGGCGUGCUCAGCCAUAGUCCGGGCUCCUUGCUCAGGGCUGGGGCCUCAUGUCUCUCUCCAUGUGGGAUGAGCUGCUUGGAACACUCUUCUGAAGGGUGUCUGACACAUGGUGAAUCACAGCCAUCAGCGCUAAUACAAGGCUCAGCUGAGGCAGAGGGAGGAGAGGAAGGAGGAGAAAGAAAGAAAAGGUUGGAAAUCACAGCCACCUGUCUGCAGCUGGGGUGCUUCUUAUCAGAGGAUGUGAGGUGA